GUUGGCUAGGUGGCUAAUGUGAGCUAGUUGGCUAAUGUUAACUAGACUAGGUGUUAGCUAACAUGCUAAUUAGCUAAAAUUGUCCACGAUAAGGGUCGAACACGCAACCUUUGGGUUGCUAGGCAUUCACGUUAUACAACCAACCAUCCUCCUUUCGUUUUUGCCUUAAGUAACCAUACCAAAUGUAACAUUUACUAAAUUUGAGUGUCCCGGAUUUACAUUUACUAUGUUACGUCUAGGCUAUUUUUUAUUUAACCUUUAUUUAACUAGGCAAAUUGGUUAAGAACAAAUUCUUAUUUACAACGGCCUACUGGAGAAAAGUGGAUUAAUGGCCUUAUUCAGGAGCAGAAUGACAGAUUUUUACCUUGUCAGCUCGGGGAUUUGAUCAAGCAACCUUUCGGUUACUGGCCCAACGCUCUAACCACUAGGCUACCUGCCGCUAUGAGAUAUGGCUGUCACAACAGUCCACAUUGAUCUUAGCUAACUCAAAGAUACUGGUAACUAUCCCAAGAUAUCUCAAUCGGUGUUGUUUCUAAUGGUAGCAAAUUAAGCAUAGUGGGCAGAGACGAGCACAAGCUAAUGAGAUCCUGUUAGCAUGUAUUUGCAUUUCUGCGUUAGGGAAUGCCUUCUCUGUGAAGUGCGCACGUACAAUAAAAAUUGUCCUUGCAUUCCUAAACAAUUUUUUGGGGGAAACUUUGGCAAAGGGUAAAGUCUACAAAACUUUAUGCAGUGUUCUUAACAAACUCUAGUUUUGGGAACUAUUGAUGAGAAAAUGUGUUGAAUGUCGGGAAGAUUUAUCUAGCUCCAUUCUUCUCCAACUUCCCGCCACUGGACUUCCCCUCACUAUAUUUGGUGGCUAGUGGAAGUUCUAAACAGAUGCUUCAGAUUUAUACAUCCUGGGAGACAUCUGGCUCCCAUCUGUGGGUAAAUGUUGCGUUUUCCCUCCUACUGUAUUAAUCUUGAUAUGCACAUCUUGAUACUGACAUCUAGUGGUGCCAUCUGCAACUACACGUUGGUUCUUGGACUGAAUUAUGAGUUAAGACUGAAGAAUAAACUACCAGUCACAGGUUCACUUUUUAACAGCAUAUUAUUUUAUUAGUUUCUUUAACCAAACCAAGAAUGUAAAUAAGACCGUACAUAUUUUAAUACAGCGAUGUACUCCCUGUACAAGUAAAACAAAAAAACUAAACUAAUUAUCAUCAUGAUCACACCCUCCACCACUCCCUCCUACACAAUUCUCAUUCCAUGUUCUGGUUAGAGUGGGGUGGGGUGGGGCAACUGGCUCCAUAGCCCCCUACCCACUAGGGGAGCAUACUACUGUACAUUUCUGAAGGACCCUUCUCACCUUGGUAAACCCGAGAUGAGUGAGUGGUGUAGGCUUGAGUGAGACUGAGUGAGCUGGAGAGACAGGAGAAGACAGGGACGAUCGCUCCUCUCCACACUAACACCUGUCCUUCUGCCCCAGAACACAGCAGAACCAUAGACUACAGUUCAACUCCGGAGGAUUUUUUUCUCAUGUUGUUCUCUUCCUCCCCCUCUCGGCCAGUCUCUUUUCCUCUUGGUGAGGGUUAACAGAAUGCCACACUGAAUGAUUUUCUGUUUCUACAGUUUUUAAAAUGAAACCCUCCCCCACUCUCUAGCCCUCUCCUGCUGUGUGUCCUGGCUAAGGGCACCAGUACUCACUCUCUCUUUCUGUCAGUAGCAGCAGGGUAGGGUGCCCUACAGUAAAGUGUGUGUAUGAGAGACACCGAGGAUGGGUGUGUGAACGGUGGUGGUGGAGUGUAUUAUAGGUGUAUUCUACUCUCCUUACUCUUGAGGGAGGCAGGGAGGGGAAUGGAAGAGGGGAGUGUGUGAGACUUAUCCCUAGACUGGAUUCAGGGUUUACCGUCAACCCAUAAUAACUCCCCUUCCACUCUGCUGCCAUAGCAACAGGGAUUUCGAAAGGCUCUGUGACAUCUUUGCGCUGCUCAACCUUUGGCUAAAGAUACAGAGAACCGGGCAAUAGCCUGCCCACGUGUGCAACACGCAAAACACAAAACACACACACACACCCAUACAUCACCAUGUCAGGCAAAGAAAUGAGAGCAGAAAGCAGGAGGGAAGGCAGACUUAUCAAUAAAUCAAUCGGUCAAGCAAUCAACUGCUGCAUCUAACAUUUCCUCUCUAGGAAAACAAACAAAAAAACUGAAUUACUUCAUAGUUUCUCUUUAAGUAAUAUUGGUGAAACCUUUGAGCACUAGGGGGAAGGUGUGUGUGGUGAUCAUGCAGAUUGUACACACUCACAUAGCUCUGUGUUAGUAAUGAUGGGAGGACAGGCAGAGGAAUAGAACGUGUCUGUGCUUCACUAAAAGACAUCGCUUUAAAUAAGAUUGAUUGUUCAACUACAAAAACAAAAGAUUGAUACAUUCUUUUGUUAACAAAAAGAAGAGCCCUGUCUUCAUGUGAUUCAACUGAGAAGAGGAAAGGAACUGAAAUCAUAGAGCUAUAAAAAUGGCAAACUCAGCAGCAGAUCUCAUCUCUUUUCUCACUCCCUCUUUUUCUACCAUCGCGGUAGACAUUUGAAGUACAGCUUACGUCGCUGUCUUCCCGCCGAAAACACACAGACCCCCAAUAGUGGAGGACAGGAGAGAAGGAGAGAGAGGAGGGAGUGAUUGUGUGAAUGAGUGGAGCAGCUGGAUUAUUUCUCCAUCUCUCCUUCUGUGGAGAAUGUGUGAGGCUCUACUUCCCCUCCUCUGGUUUGAUGGCCUGGGGCUUGAUAGGGCCGGUCCGGAUGGGCUUGCCCACCGACAGAGAGGAUUUGUCGGGCUCAGGGCGCUCCACGACUCCUACGGUCUGGUGGUUGGGGGGCAGGAUGUCGGGGGGGGGUUUGCCUCCCCCCUGGUCGAGACGAGAGGGUUUGGAGACUGACGGAGCCUUGAGUUGCUGCUCUGAGAAGAAUUUAUGAGUGGACUGGAGCACCUCGGCUCGCUGCUUCGCCUGAGGAACCGACAGGAGAUGAACCAGUUAAUACAGCUAUCAAAUCAAUGACGUGGUACUGCUGGAUUCAUUCAGGAUACAUCAGGAUUUCACCACCAGGCACAUUCUAGUUCAACCAGUCAACUAAUCAGCAAGCAGGACUAGAGCAAAAAUGUGUCACAUUGGGGGUACUCAAGGGCCGAAGAUGAGAAACACUGCUGUACAGAGAUCACCACACAUGUAGAGCUCACCAAAGACAUAUACACUACAGUACCCAUAACCCUUCAGUACUAUACCUUGAGGUCCUGCUCUGCCUGGUUGCCUCUGGGACCUGGUGGGCCUCGAGGUGCGAGGGGGGGAGGAGGCCCUCUGGGGGGGUGGGAGAGGUGCUGCUGGGGGAACUGCUGCUGCUGCGGCAGCGGCCGGGGGUGGGGCAUCAGCCCUCCUCCCAGAGAGGGAGACAUGGGUGGUGGGCCCAUUGGCGAACGCUGCAUCCCUCCACCAAAUGAGUUAGCAUGUUGGGUGUGGGGGGGGGGGCGCACCAGAGGAGAGACCAUGUUGGGCUGAGACAGAAUCUAAAAGGAGGGACAGAAGGAGAGUCGAACACUUUUUCCUUGGAUUUCUUUCUAAUAAAAAGGGUCAGUGUUAGGCUCUGUUCUAUCCCUCUCCAGUGUGUGUGUAUAUUACCUGUGGGUUGAACUGUCCAGGAAAGUGCUGUGUGACCCUCAUGGCAGCAGAGCUGGGCUGGAACUGUUUCUGGUACAGCAUGCUGUUCAUCUUACUGGACUGGCUGCUGGGAGAUGUAGAGCUGGCCCUGACCAGACACAACAAAACAUCAGCUCUUGGCACACUCAAACGGGUAGAAGGUGUGCGUGUUACCUGUAAGGACUAGAUGUAGGGGUAGUGUGUGUGUGUUACCUGUAAGGACUAGAUGUAGGGGUAGUGUGUGUGUUACCUGUAAGGACUAGAUGUAGGGGUAGUGUGUGUGUGUUACCUGUA
rnacentral:lncRNA from 1 species